GAAAUCAUCCUCUAUGUUAAAGGAAGCUCACUCCUUAACAGCUGUUGUAAUCGCUGUCCGAGAAAUCCUCGGCACUGUUGGAGUGACUUCCACUUUAAGGACUUUCUGGCCUUCUUGUGAAGAAUCAGGAGCGUCAAAAGUGAAUGUUUCCCUCUGAGGAUGAAGAUCACUGUAAACAACCCUGAUGAGAUCAUGCUGACAUAACGCCCCUUCUGUCAAAGCCAUGGAUCCAAUUGUUGAGGGCUAUAAGAAUAAGAAAAAAUCUGAGACGCUCUACAAUGAAGUAAAAAUCUGUAACAUAUGAGACAACUGCAGUGAAGAUGCUGAGUAAUUUGUACAAAUUUAAAUAUUCAACAGGUGGCAAGGCCUGGUUUUGAAUAAAAUACAAGUAAUUCUGAAGGUCAUGCU